rnacentral:rRNA from 1 species
GUGCCAGCAGCCGCGGUAAUACGUAGGGUGCGAGCGUUGUCCGGAAUUAUUGGGCGUAAAGGGCUCGUAGGCGGUCUGUCGCGUCAGGAGUGAAAACUCGGGGCUCAACCCCGAGCCUGCUUCUGAUACGGGCAGACUAGAGGUAUGCAGGGGAGAACGGAAUUCCUGGUGUAGCGGUGAAAUGCGCAGAUAUCAGGAGGAACACCGGUGGCGAAGGCGGUUCUCUGGGCAUUACCUGACGCUGAGGAGCGAAAGUGUGGGGAGCGAACAGGAUUAGAUACCCUGGUAGUCCACACCGUAAACGUUGGGCGCUAGGUGUGGGGCUCAUUCCACGAGUUCCGUGCCGCAGCUAACGCAUUAAGCGCCCCGCCUGGGGAGUACGGCCGCAAGGCUAAAACUCAAAGGAAUUGACGGGG